GGGGAAGGGGAGGGGGAGGGAAGGCAGGUGGCUGGGGCAGAACUCCUGGGUCUUGAGGACAUAGAGGGAGAGAGAGCCGGAGUCGGGGAGAUUAGAGGAAGCGAUUGUGCCUGUGCGUGUGCGUGUGUGUGUGUGUGUGUGUGUGUGUGUUUGGGGGCGGGCUGGGGGGAUGGGGAGGCGGGGAGUAGCGGAGGUGGUAAUUUAGGUAGUGGGUUUCCUGCGGAGGGGGAGGAGGAGGAGGAGGAGAAGGACCAGGAGGAAGAGGAGGAGGAGGACCAGUUGGAAGCAGAGGAAGAAGAGGACCAGGAGGAAGAGGAGGAUGCUACGUGGAGCUGGCUCGGGGGGUCGCCUCGGACCCAGGCUCGGUAAUACAGCUAAUGCUCCAUGAUCCUGAAGGCUGAUCAAGUGUGUGGACUAUUCAGGCUCUUCUCUUCCCUUCUGCUUCCCAGAAUUUGGGCCAUCUCCCUGCCCUUCAGCGAGGGUGGGCACAGGUGGGUAAAUGUCAAUAAAACCUAACGUGCCCCUCUGGAAGGGGAAAUAGCUGAUUAAAAUGAGGAUUUUGAAUGAUCUGUGUUGUUGGAUUAUCCAUGGUUUCCUCGGCCCAUUGGCCUGGUGGGCCCUGCAGGGUCCUCUUUCUUUCUGCCCCAUCAUCUGUCACCACCAGGCUUUGAAUUGUCACCGGUGAAGUGGCUUUCAGCUGAUGCCUUCAGGAGCAGCGUGGCCUAGUGGAAAGAUCCUGGGUCUUGGAGUUAGAGGAUCUGGGUCCUAAUCCUGACUCUACCACGUGCCUCCUGUGUGACCCUGGGCAAAUCAUUUUGCUUUUUUGUGCCUCACUUUCCACAUCUGUAAAAUGGGGAUUCAGCCCUUGAUCUCCCUCCUAGUAAGACUGUGAGCGCCGAGUGGAAGAGGGACACAAUCCUACAUGAUUACCUUGUAAUUAUCUCAGCACUUAAAACAGUGCUUGACACACAGUAAGAACCUAACAAAUACCACUUUUAUUAUUACUAUUAUUCCUUGAACAAAUUUCAGAAUAAUAAAUCAUGAGGAGUAGUAGACAGAGCAUGGGCCUGAGAGUCAGAAGGAUCUGCGUUCUAAACUUAGUUCUGACACUUGUCUGUUGUGUGACCUUGGGCUUCACUUCAUUUCUCUGUGCCUCAGUUACUUCAUCUGUAAAAUGAGGAUUAAGACUGUGAGCCCCAUGCAUGGAUUGUAUCCAUUUUGAUUAUCUUGUAUCUACCCCACUGCUUAGAACACUGUCUGAUACAUAGUAAGUGCUUAAAAACUAUGAUUUUAAAAGGUAAAUUUAUUGAGCAGUUACUAGAUGCAGAGUAGAGUAUUAAGGGUUUGGAAGAGUAUAAUAAAACAGAGUUGGCAGCCCUGGGUACUGUGGAAGAGCCAGGAAGGUGAAGGAGUUAUGUGGGGGUGAGGAGGACGGUGUGUCCGCUGGUCUAGUGUCGGUUGGAUAAAGGGAUUGGAAAUCGGGUCACCUUCAGUGGUUCAGUGGAGCCUCUAGGCCUCCUGCUGGGUCUGGUCUCUAGACUAUAAACUCCUUUUGGGUAGGGAAUGUGUCCGUUUAUUGUUGCAUUAUACUUUCCCAAGCACUUAAUACAGUGCUCUGCACACAGUAAGCACUCAGUAAAUACGACCGAAAGAACGAAGCAACGAAUGAGGGGAAAAAAAUAGCUUGAAGGCAGAGGAGCAGGAAGUGAGGGCUGAUUCUAUGGGCAGAGUGGGUUUCUGCCCCAUUCAUUCAGUGGGGUUCUGGUGAAUAGAGGAUCAGGGAUGGGGGAGAGAAGAAGACAAGGGAAGGGAACUGGGGAUAGAGAAAGAGACAGGGGUGACCUCUGGGUCUAGGAACUCCAGGGUAGAAGAGGUGCUGGGGCAAGCAGUCUGUCCGGGCUUGUAAAAGCUGUUGUCUGGAGGGGCUGGUGGGAGUAGCUGCCAGCUCAAGCCGAAGGCCACUGCCUGCAUUGUGUAGACUUCUGCCUGCUUUUGUCCCAAAUUAAUGCUUUGUGGUUAGUGAACAUUGGCCACUGAAGGAAAUCAAAGUACUUAAAAGACAGGGCUGUGUUAAUUCUCCAGACACCCCCUGCGGAGGAGAUGGAUGCAUAGUAUUAGUGAUUAAAAGGAAAGAAACCCACUCUCACCCUUCUCUUGCUUUCCCUCCCCCUCUUGCCAGCUGAGAGCACAUCUUCCAAACUACUCCCCUCCCCCCGGGGCAUAUCACAAUUAAGGAUAGACUCUAAAGUGAAAGGGAACCUUCAUUUGAAGCUUCAGCUAUUCCACCCUAUGGAGUUUUAAAAAUGGUGGGGGGAAAGAGCCCAGAGCGUUUAGGUGACUUGCCCGAGGUCACACAGCUCAUUGCUCUGCAGCUUGGAAUAGCAUCCUGGUCUCCUGACUGACUUAGGUGACUAAAUGAGUGUCUGGCUCUCUCUAGGUUUGUCGCUCGAGGGCUCCUUAGAUAGCUGCAGUAGGUAGAUCUAGAAAUAUAGUAGUUCGUCUGAGCUCUCUAUAUAUAUAUCACAGAGAGGAGAUUGCUCUCUAUAUAUACUCAGGGCGAGUGGGUGUGCGAAUAGUGUUAGAAAAUAGGUUAUUAAGUAACAGGCUCACCAACCUGAGCUGAAUCAGCCUGAAUUGCUUGCCCAUCCUGGCUGGCCAUUGGAAAUUUAUAACACCUAUUAAUUACAACCGAACAA
rnacentral:lncRNA from 1 species